UCAGGAUGAACGCUGGCGGCGCGCCUAACACAUGCAAGUCGAACGGUUAAAGCACCUUCGGGUGUGUAUAAAGUGGCGAACGGCUGAGUAACACGUGGGCAACCUGCCCCUCGCACCGGGACAGCCUCGGGAAACCGUGGUUAAUACCGGAUACGCCCCAGGGAGGACAUCCCCCCUGGGGGAAAGCCCCGACGGCGAGGGAUGGGCCCGCGGCCUGUUAGCUUGUUGGUGGGGUAACGGCCCACCAAGGCGAUUAUGGGUAGCUGGGUUGAGAGACCGACCAGCCAGAUUGGGACUGAGACACGGCCCAGACUCCUACGGGAGGCAGCAGUGGGGAAUCUUGCACAAUGGGCGAAAGCCUGAUUGCAGCGACGCCGCGUGCGGGACGAAGGCCUUCGGGUUGUAAACCGCUUUCAGCAGGGACGAGGCCGAAAGGUGACGGUACCUGCAGAAGAAGCCCCGGCUAACUACGUGCCAGCCGCUGC
rnacentral:rRNA from 1 species